AUUGAACGCUGGCGGCAUGCCUUACACAUGCAAGUCGAACGGCAGCACGGGGGCAACCCUGGUGGCGAGUGGCGAACGGGUGAGUAAUACAUCGGAACGUGCCCAGUAGUGGGGGAUAGCCCGGCGAAAGCCGGAUUAAUACCGCAUACGACCUACGGGUGAAAGCGGGGGAUCGCAAGACCUCGUGCUACCGGAGCGGCCGAUGUCAGAUUAGGUUGUUGGUGGGGUAAAAGCCUACCAAGCCGACGAUCUGUAGCUGGUCUGAGAGGACGACCAGCCACACUGGGACUGAGACACGGCCCAGACUCCUACGGGAGGCAGCAGUGGGGAAUUUGGACAAUGGGCGCAAGCCUGAUCCAGCCAUGCCGCGUGCGGGAAGAAGGCCU
rnacentral:rRNA from 1 species